ACCAGGUGACCACCAUGCAGCCCCUCAAGCUCGAUGCCAGCUGGUUGCCCAUCUACAAGGAGGAGCAGGAAGCUGUUGAUUCCAUCCUGGCCUUUGUCACCAGCCCCAACAAGGAGGAGAGAGACAAGGCCACAUUUCUCCAGAGCAUCUCCGUGCUGUGCAGAAGCGCCUUGAACCAUGGCCUGACCCAGGGC